AACGUAGGUGGCGAGCGUUUAUCCAGAAUUACUGGGCGUAAAGCGUGUGCAGGCGGGCUGACAAGUGGUGUAUGAAAUCUUCCGGCUUAACCGGGAGCGGUUAUGCCAGACUGUCAGUCUUGAGUGCGAGAGAGGAGCGUGGAAUUCCGGGUGUAGUGGUGAAAUGCGUAGAGAUCCGGAGGAACCCCAGAGGCGAAGGCGGCGCUCUGGCUCGCAACUGACGCUCAGACACGACAGCAUGGGGAGCGAACGGG
rnacentral:rRNA from 1 species